rnacentral:piRNA from 1 species
UAUUGAGUUGAGAUCAGGAACUGGU